GAUUGGUCAACGGAUGACCGCAGAACGCUAGAUCGCGUUCGCGCAUGUUUCCUGCUAACAACAUAUAGUACCAGAGUACCCGUCAUGCGACAUUUAUUUUAUUGAUUUUACAAAUUUCCUUGGGUGUAGCAAGAAAAUUGCUACCAAAAACAAUACAUGUGACUUUCCACACCCAAUGAAAUGUUCCAUUUCAAAGAGAAGAUCAUCAGAAUUUCCUGUCCUACACCUAAAAAGAUAUUCAAGAGAAAGUUGCAGAGGAGUGUAAAGAGGUGUUUGUAUUUUUCUCCUGCCCAGAAACAAGUUGCCCCGCUUACCAGCUUUACAAACGUCUACAUCCAGAUCGCCGCUGAUUCCAUGAGGGAACUUUGUGUUGA